ACAUAUGUAUACAGAGUGGUUAUUUUGAAUUCCAAUUAACAAACAAAAUUGACGCCCGUAGCUCAUUGAUACAAAACACAAAAUAAAAUCAUGGCCAUUUGUCCCAAUAUAAAUAGGUAUUAUUAAAGCCCGGAACACAAAGAGUACAUAUAAGUGUAUGCCCCUGCCGGGAAGGCAUAACGGCUGGUGUUGGUGUGAGAAGAGAGACAGACCAAAGGGAAGAAGCGGUAUGGAAACAAAAAAAUUCUAAUCAAAUCGGUGAGAGAGGAUAAAUUAAGUGCAAGAAUUAACAUUAAAACUAGCGGCUGUGGUUCUUCUCUUUCA
rnacentral:sRNA from 1 species